GCCUCUGUAGCUCAGUUUAUUAGAGCGCUGCACCGGAAUCGCAGGGCCGUAGGUUCGAUUCCUACCAGAGGAC
rnacentral:tRNA from 1 species